UCCUUGGUGGCCUAGUAGUUAGGGUUCUGGACUUUCACUGCCGUGGCCCAGGUUCAAUUCUUGGUCAGGGAA
rnacentral:tRNA from 1 species